GUGGUGGCUCAGUGGUAGAGCACUCACCUGGCAUGCUUGAGGCCCUGGGUUCAAUCCUCAGCACCACA
rnacentral:tRNA from 1 species